rnacentral:lncRNA from 1 species
UGUAACAUAAAUCAUUAGGGACUAGCUAGUAUUUUCCUCUUUGGCUCAGCAACAUGCUUGAUCUUUGUCACCACUUUAAGUCGAAGUUGUUGUUCUUUGGCUAUAGCUUCGGUAUUCAUCGUUGUCCUUUUCAGACUAUAUCUUCGUCUUAAGGACCUUUGGCGGAGAAGAAGAUUACCAUCAUGAAACUUUAUUUAUGACGAAGCUCCUAUAAUAUUCAAUAUUAUGCUAGAAACAAAUGGUUAAUCGUGUUUUUUAGAACCUUCAGAAGAGGAAGGCCCCCAACACUAUUGAUGAUAUGAUGCUGAUAAUGUUGCACUGAAGGUAUAUCAUAAUGAUAAAACAAAUUAUCUUGCCUUUGUCUAAAGGUCUUUUGGAUGUGACUUUGCAUUCUCUUAGGAACGACUUUGGAGUCUUUUCACCUUUACUAGGUGAUUCUCAUUUUGACUCUGCAUUCCCUUAGGAACGACUUCGGAGUCUUUUCAUCUUUACUUGGUGAUUUUUAUUCUGACUCUGCAUUCCCUUAGGAACGACUUCGGAGUCUUUUCACUUUUACUAUGUGAUUUUCAUUGAGUCUGCAUUUCCUUAGGAACGACUUUGGAGCCAUAUUUAUUUUCUAUUACAUUCAAUGGUGUAACCCUAGAAUUACAUGUACAAAUUGUAGAAGGGCAGGUUCCCUCUGUAUUUCGUGCGACGAAGGUAAACUUGGAAGAAAAUUGAACUAAAAGAAAGUAAAAAAAUAAAAAUUACAAUAUACUUUGAUCUUUUUGCCAUAUCUCCGGUUUCUUAAUCUAGCCCCUCAAGUGCUAGUAGAUAUGCUUAGACUCAGGGACCACAUUGUUUAUUGUUCGAGCUUCGGAUGGCUCCCUUCUAUCGUGUUGUGCCAUGUUUUGUGCCGAGAAUUGUGGUUGGCUUAUAGGUACUUGCUCAUAUGGUGGGGGUGCUAAAAUGAAUGCAGAGGCAUUGUCCAUUGAUUUGGUGAUGAAUUUGUCGAAGCAAUGGAGCCCAACAGUUUUGGCUUUGGGAUCUGAUGAUGAACAUGUUCUAGAAUAUAGGGUGAAUAAUAUGAAGAUGUCUGGAAAACCUCCUUCGGCUAGUUUUGUCGUGCUUCAGCAAGCUCCCUUUGUGUUUGAAUGGUCAUCUCACAAUUCUUUGUAAUGUGGCCCUUGUGGUUCCCAUAGAAGAGACAAAAAUCUUUCUUGGUUAAUAGUAGCAGACAUAGGAAUCAAAGACAACCUAGGCGAGAUUAUCAACUACUAACAACUAUAGAUGAGAUUUUCAAUUGAGAUCAAAUAUUUAGACUUGUGUGCUCCUUUCAAGAGGUAAGGCAGUCUAGGCCACAUCCUAUGCUGCAUGAGUGGUGAGUCCGCCUCUAUUGGUUAAGUAUUGUAUCUUCGAGUACCUUUGGGCCUCCUCCCUUCUUUGGCCAAAAUCAUUAUCUACACUGAUGUAUUCAUCCAUCUUUUGAAGCAUCUUUUCUUAUGGCUGGGGAGGCUUUCUGGCAAAGUAUUUGGCAGUUGGUCCUACAUGAAGCCCCUUGAUCAUUGCCUCAAUGUUGAUUUCAUUUUGCAUCGUUGGCGUUUGGGCUUGAAACCAAAGGAACCUUCGGACGAAGACAUGAAGAUACUUAUCAUUUCUUUACUGCACUAGAACAGGGCCUGAGCAGUGAUGGGCUUUGUUUGGAAGCCUUAAAAACUUGUAAGAAGCAUAUCCUUAAGCUUCUGCCAUGAAAUCACUUUGCCUACCCGAAGGGAAGAGUACCAUGUUUGAGCAACACUUCUGUCUGUCAUGCCAAAUGAUUUUGCCAUUACUAUUGUGUUGCCACCAUAUUAUGAUAUCGUGGCUUCAUAAAUCAAAAAUUGUUUUGGAUCUAAAUGUCCAUCAUGCAUUGGUAGUUGGGGUGGCUUGUACAAUGGUGGCCAUGGCAUGGCCUAUAGUUCUACAACCAACUGAGAAGUGUCAUCGUACAAGAAAUCAUCAUAGGUGUGGCCCUCGUGCCAAAGAUUCCUCUAAUGGUACUGUUGUUCUGGCUGCUCAAUCUGUUGUGUAAUGUUACACAUUUGUCCGGAUGCUUGUUCAAUCUGUUUCUAGAGCUGGGAAAGCCAAAUCAUCUUCUCUUUGCGCUUCUCCACUUGUUGCUGAAUGGUUUCGAGGUUGUAGAUCUCUUGAUCAAUAUCUUCGUCUUGUGGUGGUGAGUCGAUGACCUUUAUUUUAUAGCUUCGUGCCUCUCGGAGAAGUGCAUGUUCAUUUUGGUUCUGAUCUACGGGAGCGAGAAUAAAACCAACUAUUGUUGUCUUCUUUGGAGGCAUGAUGAAUCUCUUUGUGGUAAUCGUGAGCUCACACGAGGUGGGCGCCAAUGUUGUUCACUCGCUUUUGAUUCCUUUGGGAUAUCAAAAACAAGGCAACACUGUUAUGUCAAAAUUCAUCUUCAUCCCUUAAUCUAUUUUUCUCGAAGGAGAGACUGAUUAAAAGAUGAAUAGAUGAAGAAUUGAAAAAGAGCAAGCAAAGAACAUUAAAUGUAAAUGGUGCAUGAUAAAAAUAUGAAGCAUAUAAUUGAACUUUAUUGGGUAUUACUUCUUCUCUUACUUUAUUAUUUAACAGAAGAUUACAAAUAUACCUUUGCCUCCCUAGAGUUACAGUAUGAAGGUAAUAGAAAUACAACUUUGUAGGUAGAGCAAUUCAUUUUUCUCUGGUAAAAAAGGCACACCUAUGGGUGACAAUAGGAUCUAAAUUUUACACUAUAAAAUUUAAGGAUUAGAUCGGAUCCGAAUAGGAUUGCGCUCUAUUUCUAUUCAAUUUCGAACUAAAAAUAAUUUAGGGCCCUAAGAAAUUGUGUGGAAACAUUUGGAUUGUGAUCUAUUACCACCCCAAGACGUGUCCGAUGUAUGACACUAUUCCUCUAUUUAUUGAUGUGAGGUACGUUUUCGACAAAAUUACAAUUACGCAAUUAAACUUAUAAUAUUUGUACUAAUGAGUAAGCUAAGAGUAAUGUUGUCUUUUUCCUUGCAUAGUCUUGCUGACAAGUUUUGGUGACUUUUCAUAAAUCCAACUUGCUCAUCUGUCAUGCAUGCACGUCGUUAGUCAGAAGCUAGUAGCUUCGUCUUAGUUGUGAUGUUUGCACGAUAGCUCCAGCUAAAGGUGUCCUUUGGCAACCGUUCAUUUACAUUUAAAACAAGCUAAAGAGUAACAGUUAAGUUAAUGUUUGAGGACUUUCGGCCAAAUAAGGCCUCCAACAAUACCGGUUCAAGGUAAAAACCAGUAAAAAAAAGCUUCUCUUUAGUAUCAGACCAAGCAUCUAGGACUAAUGAUUGACGUCUUUAGUCUCGUUCAAUACUGGUUGUAAAACUAGUGCAAUUUCGGAUUCCCAACCGAUACUUAUCACCCUCCCUGCAGUAGUACCCUAAGCUCAAAUAUAUCUCUAGCCCUAUCAAACUGAGGUCCUAAGGCUGGCCUCACUAGGCGACUGGAAAAGCGACUGGAAUUUUUUUACAGUUUACUAAAGGGUGCAUUGGGCGACCCUACGCCUCACUCCACUCUCUCUCCUACCCUUCUGAUGCCAAAUACAACGCUCCAGCUCCCCUGUACUAAACCGAGCGGGCGGCUGCAUGCAUGCUAUUGACAGUAUAGAAAAGUGGGGGAAAAUAUAAUAUAAUAUAUGGUAGUUUGUCACACCCGGAUUUAAAGGAUAAAGCCGGGUGCGUCUCAUAUGUGCGCUAAGGAAGAACUUUACAUAUAAUGACAGAAUGUAUAUAGAUAAAUGCUAUAAAUAUCAUAAAUGUACUUAUUACAUAGCUGAAGUCUUACAAAAUAAAUGAUAAAAGUUUUUGAAAUUAUUUUUGGAUUAGAAAUUAAUUUCCUUAAAAGCUGAUUUGGUGACCCGGGAUCCCGGGAGGAUCGGAGGGGAUUGAGGGGGAAAUUAAUUGAUUUCCCCCUCAAUCCCCUCCAAUCCUCUCGGGAUCCCCUUGUCACCAAAUCAACCCUAACUGUUUAUCUAAUUAAUCGGUUCUCUGGAUUGCGCAUCAAAUACCGAAUAGUGCAAGGGCUAUCUACAAAAAUUCCCUAGACUCAGAUUCCUACCAGAGAGAACUGCGGGUUGAUUUAACAAAAUCCGAGGGUCUCUUUUAUAAAAUGUAGCCAUUGAAGAGGUAUCGGGAGAUCCUGACCGUCCGAUACGUCCCAACGGACCAGAUUAGAUCAAACCCGUCGCGAAGCGGUACACGCUCACGUCCGUUAGAUCGCGAUCCGACGGCGAACAAGUCAUCGGUGAAAGGGGGUUUUUAACUUCUAAUCUCGGACGUCCGCAAGAUCGAACGGCGCACCACAUGUUUGAACCCGAUCUAAUCUGGUUCAUUGCUUUACGGAUCUACGGCUGAUGUUGGUCUUCUACCCAGGCCACCGGCGAUGACGGCGGGUUGAGUCCCUGCGGCGAAUAUCACCGCCGGUGACAAUCAAUCCCCAGCACCGGUGAUUCAAUCGCACGAGAAAACACACCAAAACACGAUUCAAGGUCCUACGAACUCGAAUUCAGCCGACUCACCUACGUAUGACGGCGACGAGAGCACUGCCUCCGACCAGGAGCACCCCGCGGAGGUGUCGGGUUCACGGUGGUUAAUUGGCGCCUCCUCGCUCCCUAUGCACAGCAAGGUCCCCAUACGAGACCGACUCCACCCGAGGACCUCCCUCAGCUCCCUGAUGCGGUUAGCGUCACGUCUCCGCUCAACCCGACUGCGGUGGCUCUCAGCUCUCUCUUUCUCUUUCUCGGUUCACAGAAAAGGGCAGGGAGAUGGAGGAAUGCGCGGCGGCGCACGGGGUAUGGUGGCUGCUUUCGCGCGAGUUAACAGGGAGAGCCGUAGCACCUGUGGGUUUU